CAGCUCCGCACUUCGUCUCCCUCCUUUUGGGUCGUUCGUUGCGAACGGGAACCAAGCCUUCCGCUGUCCAGUUACAUUAAUCUGGAGCUUCAUGUCCGCCAUAUCUUAGUCACUUGUGUUGUUUGAUUUACAGGUUACCUGUUGAAAUCAAAGUUGACCUUGUAUUAGUUGUAGGAGUGAGCCUGGCUUAGACCCGGGAGAAGACGGCUCUGAACGUGGGGUUUGGCGGAAGCGGUUGGAUCGAUCAUUUCAGAAUGGAUAUGACUGCUUUGGGUUUUCUUUCAUUUUUCUAAAACAAUUUAAAAUUGAGGCAGAUUGUUGUUGUUGUUGUUGUUGUUGUUGUUGUCGUUGUGCAAGUGUCUUUGCAAGUUGCGUCAGUAAUUCUUGUUUUCGAACAUGCAUGUAGGUUAUGACUUUUUUACGGAGCUUGAGUCAGGAGAUAGAGACUAGGUUUUCGUUUAUCAGGUCACAGCAUUGCCAUGUUUUGGUGCGGUUUUCUACUCCUUUGAUUAAGAUCGUGCUGCCUCUAGAUUCCGAGGGAAAGCGCACAGCUGUCAAGUAUUCUCCACUGACUGCCUCAAGUUUUUCUGAUAAACUAGCUGACGAAAUAUACGUGUUCUCAAAAACUCAACGUACGAAUGUCCGCUCUGAAGGUCCAUGUGGAAUGUUAUUUCUUCAGCAUAUCGCAUCCAGACAAAUAUGAAGGACUGGGCUUCAUAGAAUUUGUAACCAACUCCUGACGACGCAACCAUCUAGUUCGACUCAUUAAAUUUAGGCGAAGCAUUAAUGAAGGCACUGGAAUAUUCUGUACAAUUAUUCUAAUAAACCAUAUGCAACGAUUCGGUGUGAAAUCUACCAGUGAAUCAUCUGGUUUCAUCGAUGAUAUCAAGUAUCAUAUUCGGUUUGUGGAGAGCUAGCUGCACAAGUACUGCAUCCACUGAUGUGAUGCUAAUGUUUAACACCGAGGUCGAACAUAUGAUGGAUAUGUCGAGGUUUACAAGUUAAGCUCAGACCUACAUUUUUAUGUCACAAUAGGUGAAGAUGAGGACGAACUUGUCGUUGCCACAGUCCUGCAGGGAUUCUUAGACGCCGUUGGUUUGCUUCUCGGAUUGUUGCUUGAGAUUUGGUCGCCCUCAAUUGGCAUUCAUCAUCUCACAGAAGAUCUUCAUGACAAAUCACGCUUCUCACUACUCUUCAGCUCCAGUAAAUUUUCAUCAAGUAAGAGAAAUCUAAUACUUGGGAUUUCAGCGUGUUUUAACAGCUGAAUGGUCUCUGCUGCCGACAUGUCGAGUCGAAGAGUGUGCUGGAUAACCCGGACCUUGUCCUACUCUGCCUUAAUGAGAUUAUGGACAGGGGGUAUGUCUUGUUAUCCAAUGCACUGUCUCCAAGUUCAACAAUGUUUCCAUGAAAAAACUUGCUUUCCCAGUGUGAUUUCUGACAGGGAAUUGAAGUUGCAAAUGCUAUGCGUUGUUGACUAUUUCUAGGGAUUUGGAUGGAUUUCGGGUUGCAUCCACACAAUCUCUUGAUAAGAAAUGUGCCCUCAGGAUUUGGAUUGAAGGCAUUUCUGCUGUGCGAUGUCUUUGUAUUGCAGCAUAAUAAUAUAAACACAUGCCAAUGUUAUUGCUGGCAGAGUUUCUGUGCUGAGUGCAGAUGUGGAAGUCCCUCUUUUUUAGAACAGACCAUCUCUCAAGCAUUGGCAACUGCUAAGUAGCAGUUCGCAAGGUUUAGCUAAGGUGAACCAAUUAUCUUCCAACACUCCUUUGUGUUAAGUUGGGAGUUGAAAGACCAUGUUGUCUACAAGCCAGGCGUGUUGCGGCUCAUCAGCAAUCAAGAGCGAGUGAAGAAGCUAACAAAUAAUCGGGGGACAACACAAAAUGUCUACCUCCCAUUUAGUUAAUACAAAACUCGGGUUAAGUGGAUC